AUUGAACGCUGGCGGCAGGCCUAACACAUGCAAGUCGAGCGAGCGGCGGACGGGUGAGUAAUGUCUGGGAAACUGCCUGAUGGAGGGGGAUAACUACUGGAAACGGUAGCUAAUACCGCAUACCAUCAGAUGUGCCCAGAUGGGAUUAGCUGGUAGGUGGGGUAACGGCUCACCUAGGCGACGAUCCCUAGCAGGUCUGAGAGGAUGACCAGCCCCACUGGACUUGAGACGCGGUCCAGACUCCUCCGGGGGGCAGCAGUGGGGAUGUUUGCACAAUGGCCGCAAGCCUGAUGCAGCCAGGCCGCUUGUGUGAAGAAGGCCUUCGGGUUGUAAAGCACUUUCAGCGGGGAGACGUUACCCGCAGAAGAAGCCCCGGCUAACUCCGUGCCAGCAGCCGCGGUAAUAC
rnacentral:rRNA from 1 species